rnacentral:lncRNA from 1 species
UUCUCAAGUCAAAUGCUUGAAUCAAUCUUGCAAGAGUCAAGUGCAUCACUUGCAUAGCCAAGUUCAUCCCAGGACAAGAUCUUCUUCCUGCACUAAAUGGUAAAUACUCGAAGUGCUUACCUGUAAUGUCCAAAUUGGCAUUGGUUGUAAGAAAUCUUUCUGGAAUAAACUCCUCAGGAUCCGACCAAACAUUUGGAUCUCUAUGUAACUUCCACAAAUGUGUAAACAAACGAGUGCCUUUUGGGAUAAAGUAUCCUGAUAUGUAACAAUCUUCAGC